GUCCAGCAGAUGAGUUCAAAAUAGGACGAAAUGCACGUGUUGGAU
rnacentral:hammerhead_ribozyme from 1 species